rnacentral:tRNA from 1 species
AUAGAGGUAGCCCAGCUGGUUAGAGCGUCCCGAUAAAAUCGGGAAGGUCGGCGGUUCAAGCCCGCCUCUCGCUA